CGCUGCCCAUUUCCAUACUUGCAGGAAGGGUGUUGUCAAGUGAGGAAGCGUGAUUACAAAGUCUGCUGAGUAUGUAAGGGAAAGAAUGAAAUAUUGCACUUGCCAUGGUCCUAAUUUUGUUCUUCUCUUCAAUUAUCUAAAGGAAAUACGAGUCAUCAAUCUCAUGAGAGUCAUCUUGCCAUCUGUACCAGUAUUGCUCCAGGCUUCCAUAUGAAAGUCCAAUCUGGCGGUAUAAAUACUGGAUAAUGAAGAGUAGGUGUUAAAGUUUCUGACUGAUUGGGAGAUGAGUCUGUGUCUAUGAAGGAGAGUCUUUACUCUGCACACCACUGCUGACCCCAGAAAUGACCCACAGGAACUACUGGCAAAAGGAGUGAAAAGCUGGAAUAAGAACAUAGGAAAAUGUGCCUGGAAGACCAAGGAUGAGCCAUCAGUUUCAUCACACAGACACUGGGACUGAUGUACCUUGGAUAUGGAUAAUGAAUAUUGGAGGUCUGGAGGAUGCUGCUUGCUUUUCCUUCUCUGGGAAGAACCCAGCAGCUAGAACUGCCCUGCUUUCCUCACACUCUGUGCAGGUUGACUUCUGCUUCCUACCCAUGGACUUAUGUGACGGAUGAGAAAGGACAGUCUUCCUUAUCUGUAUCCCUGUGUUGGCUGCUCGUAAAAGUUUAUGACAACCUCCCUGAACUUCGAGUUGUGGGAAAGCAAAGAUGGCUCUCGAAAAGAGGAAAGAAGAAGACAGUCCAGCCGUAGUGCGCCUCUCACACCUCUAGCAGCACAGAGACCUGCUUAUGGGCAAAGGAUUAGGAAAGCCAUGGUGGCUGCUGCCACCGAGCAGGCGUGACCACCGUUGCAGCCUGCUGGCAGAGGGCUGCUCUCCUUCUCCACUGCUUUCUUGAGGUGCCUGGUGCCUCUACAACUCCCCUCCCCUUGGGCAAGUCGAGGAGGCGGAGAGCAGCCUUGGCACCGUCCUGCAGAAAAUGUCUUUGUUCUGCACAGUUUCUGGAAGCAUUUUGCUGUCUUGAGGAUGGAAAUUCUGGCUGCUGAGUUCCUCUCAUCAGAGCAAUGUCUGACUGCCUUUGU